rnacentral:rRNA from 1 species
AGUGAACGCUGGCGGCAUGCCUAACACAUGCAAGUCGAACGGCAGCACAUUAAGCGCUUGCCCUUACGGGUGGCGAGUGGCGGACGGGUGAGGAAUACAUCGGAACCUACUUUUUCGUGGGGGAUAACUUAGGGAAACUUACGCUAAUACCGCAUACGACCUACGGGUGAAAGCAGGGGAUCUUCGGACCUUGCGCGAUUGAAUGAGCCGAUGUCGGAUUAGUUAGUUGGCGGGGUAAAGGCCCACCAAGGCGACGAUCCGUAGCUGGUCUGAGAGAAUGAUCGGCCACACUGGAACUGAGACACGGUCCAGACUCCUACGGGAGGCAGCAGUGGGGAAUAUUGGACAAUAGGAGCAAGCCUGAUCCAGCAAUACCGCGUAGGUGGAGAAGGCCUUCGGGUUGUGAAGCCGUUUUGUUAGGGAAGAAAAGCAGCUGGUUAAUACCACGAUGUUCUGACGGUACCCGAAGAAUAAGCACCGGCUAACUUCGUG